GCCCACCUCCUGCCUGGUCGGGGUCAGCAGCUCGAUUAUGGCAGCGCUGCCGCACCACUGGCCACUGUCCUGCCCUCAGCGGAGAGCCGAGUGGUGGAGGACACAGAGUGGGUGCCGGACUGCCCUGCAGCUCACCAGGGAGAGGAAGCAAGAGCCGGGUGCCCGGCCACACUCCCUCUAGGCUGUUCCCCUCAAAAAGUCUGCAGCCUCGAUUUUACUUGUAUUUUUCUCUUUCCCCCGCGAGCAGUCUGCAAGUCGCACAUUCAUCCAAGCAGAGCUCUCCCGGGGUCACGCCGCGGCCCAGCUAAGGCCGGAAGGGACCCCGCACGUUUCCGGUCCCUGUCCUUGGCCAGGAUGGUAUCAUAUCCUGCCAUCACAAGGGAGAGAAGGACGAGACGACUCAACGCCCCACCUGAGGCCCCAGCGUCCGGCAGCAGUCCCAGCUCCUGCCCUCCUCGGAAUCAGACUUUUCCUCCCAACACUUCACUUCAUUCAGAAGAGAUCCACUUUCUAAAUGCCUUGGUGAUAGCUCGGUGCUGGUGAUGGCGAGGUGCAGCCUGGCCUGGCAGGGAAGCAGACCUGCCCUUGGUGCUUUAGUGCAGGGACACACGUCUGCAACGGCAGGGACUCAUCGCAGGAGUUGGUGACAGGGAGUGAGGAAGACUGGGGAAGGCUUCCUCCACCUCCUCCACCCAGAACCUCAACGCACAGCCCUCGGGUCCCCCAAAUGUCCCUGUCUUCUCCCACAUGCCUGCCCCUGCCGUACCUAGGGCACAUUCCUUAUCACAUUUUAUUAUUUUUUAUCUAUCUUCUGUCUCAUCUCAUCCAAUUGGAAUAUAAAUUCCACAAGAUCGGUAUUUUAUUUGACUUUGCAUAUCCAGAACCCCAACACGUGGGCCCUUCCUAAUCAACAUAAGCUCUCAUUUUCCUGAUGGAUGCUGAGAGAAUGUUCACUGCAUCCUGGAGUUCAUAGAAGUAGAACCUGCUUGAAGAAAAAGCCAAUAAACUAGACCAGAGAUUGUUCAAAGCAAUCUGUGCAGGGAGAAAAUCAAUUUUGUUCAUCAUUUCCUGACUUCCUCUGUCCUUAGUCUCUGAAGCACUUGCUUUCAAAAUGUACAGCCGAUUUAAAAAAAAGAAAAAAAAAGGUAGCAGGCACAAAAUAUGCCCCAGAAUGUCGCA
rnacentral:lncRNA from 1 species